rnacentral:lncRNA from 1 species
CACCUAAUGCCUUCCCGAAAGGCAUCCACCAAGCGAUCCACGGCCUCCACGGCCAGAUCUCAGCGAGCUCUGCAAGCUCCGAUCUCGUCUCCAGUUUUUCAGGCUCCUCCUCCUCCGGUAACGGCAGUCAUUAUGGAGCAGUUUGACUUGCUGGUUCAGCAGGUCAGAGGCCUCACCGAAGCAGUGCAGGCCAUGCAGCAGCAGCCGCAACAGCCGCAGGCAUCAGUGCGGCUGGAAAGAGCAUCGUCGGAGUUCCAGAAUCC